CAUGGUGAAAAUAAGGUACACUGGGUCGCAUGGGAGAAAAUGUGCAUGUCGAAACGUGAGGGUGGCAUGGGUUUCAGGAACUUCGAAGCUUUUAAUCAAGCUCUUUUGGGGAAACAAGCAUGGCGGAUCUUGCAAGUCCCUGAUUCGCUAUGUGCCAGAGUGCUUCGAGCGAGGUACUUUAAGGACUUGUCUAUCAUGAAUGCUACCUGCCCCUCAAAUGGAUCGUUUACCUUCCGCAGUAUCCUUCAUGGUCGACACCUCUUGAGGGAGGGAUUGGUCUGGAGGAUCGGGGAUGGGUCUAAGGUCCUAAUUCACCAUGACAAUUGGAUCCCUAGGAAGGGCUAUCUUCGUCCACCGGGACAGACUUUCAUGCAUGGUACUACGCGGGUGGCUGACCUGCUGAUUGAGAAUGGAAACAUGUGGGAUGAAGCAAAAGCUGAUGCCAUGUUCUCUCCUGAAGAUGCUUCGGACAUCAAGCAGAUUCCGGUAGGAGGGAUUGGAGUAGAGGAUAUCUUGGCUUGGAAUUACACUAAAGAUGGGGAGUACACAGUUCGGUCUGCAUACCACUUGGCUAUGAGCAUGAGAAGAGCGGCGUCCGGACGGCCGGGGUCGUCGUCUUCGAUGGUGACUCAUAGGAACUGGCUUGCAUUGUGGAGCUCCCAGUGCCUAAUAAAGUUAAGGUUCAUACAUGGAGGCUCAUAUCAAAUGGAUUGGCAACUGGCUCUGAAUUGCAUCGGCGAAGAAUUAAGCCAGGGGUUUUCUGUACGGUUUGUGGAAGAGAGGAGAAUCUGA
rnacentral:rRNA from 1 species